rnacentral:rRNA from 1 species
UACGGGGGGGGGCAAGCGUUGUCCGGAAUUAUUGGGCGUAAAGAGCUCGUAGGCGGUUUGUUGCGUCGGCUGUGAAAUCCCGAGGCUCAACCUCGGGUCUGCAGUCGAUACGAGCAAACUAGAGUGUUGCAGGGGAGACUGGAAUUCCUGGUGUAGCGGUGAAAUGACGCAGAUAUCAGGAGGAACACCGGUGGCGAAGGCGGGUCUCUGGGCAACAACUGACGCUGGAGGAGCGAAAGCGUGGGGAGCGAACAGG